rnacentral:lncRNA from 1 species
GCUCCGGUGGGGGCUGCUGGGAGGAAGGUUUGAGAGCAGGAACCAGGAAGGCGGUGAACAAAGAGCCCCAAAUAGGGGUCCUGUACUGGCCUUAGUCGGGUGCUGGAGAGCGGGCUGGGGAGCUGCUAGUGGGUGAGCGCUGCAGCUCUGAGAGCAGGGCUUCUGACUCUGCUCAGAGGGCCUGGGCAAGUGUUGUGGCCGUGCCUCAGCCGCCGCGGGGUUACUCGCUGUAGGCCCUAUCUGAAUGUCCCAUGGAAGGAUCGGGUUUGAGGACCGGAGUGGGUUGGCACUUCCAGCAGGACUAGGUCAGUGCCUUUAGACCCUUUGGGAUGCCUUUUGCCUUGGGGAAGGUCCCCAGCAAGGGGAGAGAUGGAGUGUGCGUGUGAAAUGGGGUGAGGCAUGUGGGAUGAAGAGUAAAGGAUCGUUCGUCCUCUGGGACUUCUCUCCCCAAUGUGUUGCUGUUUGUGUCUGCAUGUUUGAGCAAUCAACAGAUUUUGAAGCGGGAAAAAAUAAGUAAUACAUGAAAAUCGGACCAGAGUCUAAUUCCUUUUGGCACUCUCGGUGGCUGCCUCCUGGUAUGGUGCCAGAAGUUUGAGGAAAAAUAUUUUAUACAGUUAGAAAGACUUCGUUUUGAUCCAAUGGCUAAUUAAAACAUCAGGGUAAUAUGCAAACUUCUUUAAAGUAAAAAUAUACAAAAGAGAAGGUACUUUUCAAAAAGGAGACUGGAGAAGGUAUACAUGUUGCAGCCAUUUACACUUUAGUAUAAAUUCACCUAAAAGAUUGCAUUGUCUCUGUAUUGUGUCACUCAGGCUACAUUUUCAUUUUUUAUCAUUGCUGCUUCUUGUUCAGCAACCAUGAGGUUGCUGUUCUUGGGUAGAGGGAGAUGUUGAGGAUGUCAAAGUGGGUAAAUUUAAGUAGUCAGCAAUCCAAAUUAAAGAAGGGAAAAUAAGCACAGCAGAGAAAUUAUGCUCACUGUUAUUCUCAGAGAGGAAUCUCAUUGAAGAAGGAGAUAUACCACUUUCUUGGUUCCCUAAAGGGUCAGGCCAGGGCCUGGAAGGAAGAGAGCACCACUGGGAAUCAAUUAAAAAGAAAAGUUGCUGUUUUUGGAGACAGGGCAGAGCUUCUGUGCGGUGUAGUCUUAACUUCUGCAAUUGCAGACAUUCUGCAAGGUUGAAGGGGCUACACAAAAUGGCCCUACAAAUCUCAGGGGGCCCUGUUCCCUCAGGCACCCAGUACCAACUUAACACCUAUGACAAAAAGUGAUGUUAACAGUCUGUUAGCCCUAAGAUUUAAAAGCUGAUAACCUUGUGUUAAUAAUAAACUCAAUUUUAGACAGCCUUUUAUAAUGUAGACAUGUAUCAAAUCAUCAUGUUGUAUGCUUUAAAUAACCUACAGUUUUGUCAGUUAUACCUCAGCAAAGCUGGAAGGAAAAAGCUGAUAAGUUAAAAUCUGGAAGAAGUACUAAGUGGGUUGUAGAUCUGAUGACCACAUUUCAGCUGUCAGGUAUGAAAGGUGUCUUUGAGACUGGCACACAUCAAAUCUGGGCGAUGGCCACAGUCAGAAUUACAUCACUGCUACUUCUUUCUUUUUCACUGUCAGGGAAGAAAGGGGCUGAUACCUCAGUCAGCCUUGCCUUCCUGACUAGCUCAGGUUCAGGAGGCUCUCCCCUUUGCUAUUCAAGGUCCACUCUUUUCAUUUCCUCAAAUGGGGAAGGUUCUCAUUUGUCUUGGGUAUUUUGUACAUGCUGCGUCUCCUUCCUUAACCCACCUGCCUUUCACCUGGCUUACUCCUACUCAGCCUUCAAGCCUCAGCUUAAAUACUGCUUCCUCAGAGUGGCUUUCCCUUAAAGCCUCCCACCAACGAGAUUAGCCUCCUACUCAUAUUCCCAAAUCAUCCUACUGGUUCCAUUUCACAAUAGUCAUCACACCAGGUUUUCAGCUAGAUCCACCCUGUUAUCACUGUUUCCCCAGCACUUAGCACACAGCACCUGGUACAUCACAGGUAACCAUGAGCCAGCAUAUGUGAGCCAACGGAGCCACCUUUCCUGGUUCAAGGCUUCUGUUUUCCCUUUUGCUAUACAGGUAUCAGUUCGUGAACUUACAUAAGCCACGAGGGCAGCCACGAGCAGCUGUCCUUUUUUGUUAAGUGAGGGAGAGGGAAAAAGCCUGUUACACAGAAAACCAUUUGCUGCCCUUAAUGAACUCACAUUGAUAUAUCAACUUCUUUUCCUUUGCAAACCACUUUAAUAAAGGUCACUACCUGGAGUUUAAUGGCAUUAGGAAAUAACCCAAAAGUCCUUUAUCUAUUUUCCUAAUUCUCUUCCUUCUGUGUCCUCCAAAGUAGGUGUGAGUCCUCUGAGCUGCUGUUUAUUUCCUUAAAAUUCUUCUGUACCUUGGGUAACACACAACUUCCAUCAUCACAUGCUGCAUCUCAAUAGAGUGAAAAAAAAAAUCAGUUUGGAAGCAGCUAACUAACUUGACCCAUACAGAUGGCACUUCCAGUAUACUUUAUUAGAACUGACCAGGAAAUUGUCUUUUCUGUUGUCAAUACAACUCAUGAAAUAACUGCCAAAUUCCCUCUUCAUCUUGAGGGACCAUAAGAAAAAUAACAGACAUUUGAAGACAUGAAGGAAAGGUCAAGGUAAUCUCAAGAUCACAGAGCUGCUCAGUGGCAAAGCCAGUAAGAGAAAACAUGUAUGAGAGGUUCAUUUUCACUGGACUGUGUCUUCACACAUAAUUUUUAUGAAUUCUUUGACUCUUCUGGUAAGUGAUUAGAGCACAUCUUUCACUCAACAAUUUUAGAUUUUAAAAUUAAAUAUUAAAAUACCACACAAUCCACCUUAGAAUUCAUCUAAAUUCUAAUCUUAUCACCACUGAAUCUUGUCCCUCCUUGAGAGAACCACAGAUAUAAUGCUCAUUCUGAUGUCUCCUACUCCUUAACUGUUUGCCAAAAAGAAUGAGAUAUUUUAUUAUGUAGUAGAAUGCACAUUAAAAUUCAUCAGAGCUCUGAACUGUCACCCAAGCUUCCUCUUGAGCCCUGUUUUUGAAUCCCCCUGGAGAAACUCUAGGGAAACUGUAGAGAGACUAUGAGGUUUACAAGGCAUAUAAUGUGAUUUGAUUCAUCAAUCAAAUGUUACUCAUGAUGGUUAAGGUUUUUUUUUUUUAAUUGCUACAAAAGAUUUUAAGCACCACAGUCAUAGAUGGCUGCCUCAAUUAUUUUAACAUGUAAGGAUGUUUAAAUCUCUGCUGAAGGAAGGUUAGAAGGCAGCAAUCAUUUGUUGAGUUUUUGGUUCUGCAAAUGAUUUACUUUAAAAAUCUGUUCCCUCUGCAAUAUUCUGUUUUUGCUCACAAUUUUAUAUAUUUUCUUUGAUGUUUUUAAAUUAUCACAUAUGUAUGUAGUGCAUAGACAAAUGUAGAAAUGCUCAACCAUACUUUGUCUGACUGUUCAAACUCUGCCCUGUGACUUUAGAAUUGUGAAUGCAAAUGAUCUUUAUUUGCAAGCUCCCACAACCACGCUAAAUAGUGCUGAAAUGCUCUAAGAUGACUAGGGUGAACACUAGAAUUCUUAAUCAGCCUGUAAAUGUUCUUAGUGCCACCAUGGGUUAGGAAGAACCUCAGCAACAUAAGAAAUGAUCCUGCAAUUAGCAAGCUUUCCUUAAAAAUCACCACCAGCACAACAUUUGAGAAAAAAAAUGCUAGAUACUGUUCAGAAGAUUCUCACCAAACUAAUUCAUUUUCCUGUAGGCACAAAUAAACAACAGUUACCAGCCUUCUUAAAUGUAAGUGGGGUCCAAUGAUUAGUUUUGGCCAAUGGACAGAAAGAAGUAGAGAUUGCCACCUCUAAGCCUGGCUCCUUAGAGAGAGGCAAAUCUCAUGACUUUUCUUCCCUCUCUGUUUUUUAUGACCAAGUAUUUCUUCAGAGGUUCUAAGGAUUCUGAGAGGGAGCUCAAUCCCUGAGAUGCUAAGAAAGCAAGCUGCAUGGGCACAAACAUCCUAGUGAGAAAUAAACUUUUCUUACACGAGCUCACUGACAUUUGGGUUUAUGAUAACGCACAGCACUAAUUACCUCAACUAAUAUAGUAUGCAAAAUGGCAAAAAUAGAUUUUCCCUGGAACGUCUAUAGAUUUUUUCUUUCUUUUUUUUUUUUUUGUUUGGGGGAUGUCAGCCUUGCUUUUAUGGCUGUGGAGGUAUCUGUUCAUUGUAGCCCUGCCCCCUCUGCUUCUAGCUUGUUGCAUCUGAGCCUUGUCAACUUAUCAAAAUUCUCUAUACAUAGAAGGGAGAGGACUUUGGACCAGAGCCUCUCAGAUGAGUAAUCACCUGCACAUUUGUACAGGGUGCCUACCUUUUGCCUUCUCAGAAUCUUCCUCAGGUGAAAUUUUUUCAGGUGAUCUUUCCAUUUAUAGAGCUCCUUACUUAUCCAAUAUUCUUAAUUUAAAUUCAACACUAGCAUUUGAGUUGAUAUACAUUUAUUUGCGUAUGUGUUCAAUAUAAAACCCUAAAGCAACCUAAGACCAAAAUAAAUUAUAUGGGUCAUAAAUAUAAUGCUUAUAAUUCUCUCUCUUGAGAUAUAUAUCUGCAGUUGGUAUGGUUUUGGAAUUAAUGGUUUUUUGUAUAUACUAAAAUAAGCAGUAUCAUUCAGGCCCAUAAAAUUUGCAUGUUGAUGCUGCAAAACUGUGUCUUUUUUAACUUAAAAAAAUUUCACACGUAUACAUAUAAGCCAUCUGCUUAAACUUUAUUGAUAAAACCAGUAACAGCAGUUUUACAAAAUUGGAAUGAUUUUCAGUUUUGAACUAACAUGAGCUCAGUUGCAGCAGACAUUUUGUACAAACUGGGGCUAAUGCUUCUUCUAUGUUUCCGUUUUAAACAAAAAGCAAUUAGAAUUUAUCCUCAUGCAUUUAAAUAUCUAAUACAGAAAUCGUUUUUAGGCUGCAUAAAAUAUGUUUCUAACAUCACUGUGAAUCUGAACAUCUGCCUUAAGCAUUAUUUGUACAAGAAAAACAGUGUCAUUCUUCCAAUCACAAACUUAUUCUUUAUCACAGGUAAACAAUUUUAUGUUUUCAAAGAGUGUUUCUAACACAGUAUUAAUACUGAAUUGAGUAUCGACAUUAAAAUUCACCAGCUUGCUCAGUUAAAACACAAGACAUAACAGUGCAAGGGUAGUACAUUAAAACCAGUGUUACGAAAUCUUAAAUAUUACAAAAGGUAGAAAGGUAUUCUAGUUUUUAACAGUUAAAAAAAUCCCGAACCUUUUCCUAUAUAUUCUUCACUGAUAGAAUUUCACAAUUUUAGAAAUGGGGUGGUGUGCUACAGCUGUUUGUUCUGGUAACAGCUAGAGAAACAUUCAUGCUUCUUAAAUCAGAGACACCGUAAGUGGAAGUCAUACUGUGAGAAACACAGGGACACCUGUAUGGAAUGUUCUGAAGAUUUGCAGAAGCUUCUAAAAUGAGAGUUCCACCCUUUGGAGGAAAAAAGUACUUUUGUUUUUGUCUUAAGCCUCUGGACCACGCAGAGAUUGAUUCUCUGCUGGAAAAUUUGAAGGAAAAAUAUGACAGCAGCUGGUCUGAAAAGGUCCAUGAAGCAGUGGGAAAGGUUGAGGGCAGUUCCUAUCUUACAACUAACAGGUCUGGCCCCACACCACAAAUCUGCCCAGGAACGUCUGCUAAUGACUUGGAAAGCUAAAGGAAGACCAGACUGGAUAUCAAACCAUGUCACACUAAACUGCCCCCACACAUGAAAUCCAUACAACUUAUGACUGGCAUUCCCAACCACCAAAAAGUAAGGACAGUCUAGUAUAUAAAUAACUCAUGAGAGAAAAGGUACAGGUUUACAAUAUUAAUUCAUCUCCAGCCUCCAGCUGUGACUAGAACAGAAAUACAAAGCACAGGGCCUGCUAAGAACAGUGUGCCUCAUGUAGGGUAAAAAUCUCCCCCCAAUAGUUAGAUAUGUUCAAAAUGAAUGAAUCAUUCACACUGGUAUUUUUUUUCAUUCAAGUUCUUCAGCGACACCCAUCAAAAGUUGAUAUAAAGGAAAACCAAUAAAAUAUUUUAAAACAACAGAAUUGCACACAGUAUGCAUAUGGUAAAACAUAAAUGUGUGAAUGUGAACAACUGCUUCGGAUGCCAUAUGAAGACCGGAAAAAAAAAAGUGAGAGUCAGAUUUAUCUUGCACUGUGCAUACAAAAUAUUGCUAUGAAAUCUUGGAUGUACCUUGAAAAUAUUUCUUUUAAUCUUUACUUUUUUUCUGAGAGAUGAUAAAUGCUACUUAGGAAAGAGAAAAGAUGGAGAAGACUGAUUCUUCAAACAAAAAAUAAUAAUUCAGGUUGAAGGACCUUUUAUUUAUUUAUUUUGGUGAGGGAAGCAUCUUUUUGAAUACUGUAUUUAAAUCCUGCUUUGUGCAAAAAAGUUAUUUAGUACUUUCCUUGCGCUUUAAGUUGAAAUGUUCUUGGGAGUUCCCAUCAUGGCUGAGGGGUUUAAGAACCUGACUAAUAUCCAUGAGGAUGCAGGUUUGAUCCCUGGCCUUGCUCAGUGGGUUAAAGGAUCUGGCGUUGUUGUGAACUGCAGUGUAGGUUGCAGACACAGCUUGGAUCUGGUGUUGCUGUGGCUGUGGUGCAGGCUUCAGCUGCAGCUGCAGCUGCAGCUCUGAUUCAACACCUAGCCCAGAACUUCCAUAUGCUGCAGUUG